rnacentral:rRNA from 1 species
CGGACCGACGGGAGCUUGCUCCCUUAGGUCAGCGGCGGACGGGUGAGUAACACGUGGGUAACCUGCCUGUAAGACUGGGAUAACUCCGGGAAACCGGGGCUAAUACCGGAUGCUUGAUUGAACCGCAUGGUUCCAAUCAUAAAAGGUGGCUUUCAGCUACCACUUACUGAUGGACCCGCGGCGCAUUAGCUAGUUGGUGAGGUAACGGCUCACCAAGGCGACGAUGCGUAGCCGACCUGAGAGGGUGAUCGGCCACACUGGGACUGAGACACGGCCCAGACUCCUACGGGAGGCAGCAGUAGGGAAUCUUCCGCAAUGGACGAAAGUCUGACGGAGCAACGCCGCGUGAGUGAUGAAGGUUUUCGGAUCGUAAAACUCUGUUGUUAGGGAAGAACAAGUACCGUUCGAAUAGGGCGGCACCUUGACGGUACCUAACCAGAAAGCCACGGCUAACUACGUGCCAGCAGCCGCGGUAAUACGUAGGUGGCAAGCGUUGUCCGGAAUUAUUGGGCGUAAAGCGCGCGCAGGCGGUUUCCUAAGUCUGAUGUGAAAGCCCCCGGCUCAACCGGGGAGGGUCAUUGGAAACUGGGGAACUUGAGUGCAGAAGAGGAGAGUGGAAUUCCACGUGUAGCGGUGAAAUGCGUAGAGAUGUGGAGGAACACCAGUGCGAAGCGACUCUCUGGUCUGUAACU